GUAAAAAAAAUUUCAUAUGAAGGGUGAGUUUUGAUCAAUCGCAUUAUGCGUAAAUGCAAUUUUGUUUUGUAAAAGCUGUAUUUGCACAUAAUGCAAUUGAUCAAACGAUGAAUUAUAAAACUCGUCCAUAAUGUGACGUGACGUCCCGUUUAGUCACUCGUCACAUCUUUAGUGCUCGUCACAACUGGAAUCAUAAGGUCCGACUGGGAAAGCACGCUGCGGAUUUUGCGUCAUCUCGGUUCGGAAAUAAACGUGAUGACGCGCUGUGAAUGCCGUUCGCAGCGUUUGUUUGUUUGUAAAUCUUAUAUUUAGAGUUUUGUAAAGAAAAUGUUUUGCUUGGUCGAAUUAUCACGAGAAAGAGGAUCUAACGUCGCGUCGCUCGAGGAUCAUUGAACUACACGGAGAAGAGCAGGGACAUGCAGAUGACACCGUUUCAUUUUAUUAUCUUUGACAUGCUCGCUUAACGCGUAUGUACAAGUAAAGCCGUUGUACGUUACAAGAAAUUGUAAGCGUACGGAUCGAAGCAAAGGAAUAUCAAUACUCAGUCAUAGCGUGACCCCGCUUGGAGUUGUAAUGAAAAUUUUUCGAAAUAAAUUUCGGCAUUAGACCUGAGCGCAAAGGCUUCGAACUUAAGAAAAAGCUCUUUUAGCUUGACCGUCCAAAGUCGAGAAAUCUAGCGAAAAAUUUGCAGUCUAAAAACACCGACGUAACUACUUCAAGUUGCGCGCCGAGCAGCGAUUUGCGCAAGUCGCGAGGGUUGCGUGAUAAGAUGGGACCAAUCACAAGGCGCCGCAAACUCCCUUGGCAACCCGAAGGCUUGCAUAGAAUGGAAAGCCCUGCGUACCUUCUGUGGAAAAUUCGAACUUCAUUUCCCUGUGGAAACCGUUGCUGUCUAGACAACCCGCCUCAAGCAUUUGCAUUUACGUGCUGUUGAUAAGAUAAACCAACUUUCUUGUAAAGCUGCCAAUUUCGCCAAUUGGAUGAGUCGCGCGCGGUAGACAUUACUAUGUUUACGACAAAGUUUGCUUUAUUCGGCCUGGUAUUAUCCUUGAUAAGAGCAUCAUCCGAAUGGCAACUGACGAAAUGUUGCCCACCGGGACAGAGCUAUGUAAACAGUUUCACCAACUGUAAAUCAGUACCGUUAUUCGCAAUAGAGGUUUAUUCUCACUAUUGGAACAUUACCAGUGAGUUCCAAGGAAUUCCUCAGUGCAACAAACCUGAGGAUCUUGUGACAACGCUACUCGACGAUUUCAAAUCUAACACUAUCUUAGAGGUGCCAGCUUGUCUUGAAUUAUUUUUCAAGGGAAAGGGAAAAAAACCCAGAAUAAUAAUUCAUCACUGUCGAUCAAACAAGGACCAACAAGUAAAAACAAUUAACGCAUCCUUUGAACAGUUCUUACACAUUAGAAGAUGCUGCUUUGGCGAUACAAUAUUUGACAGCAGCACAAAGACAUGUGUGACCCAGUUAAACGAAACACAGAGUCUUGGAGCAGUUUUGAUAAAUAGAUCGACUGCAGAAAGUACAGUGAUACUCUCUUAUUCUCCACUUAUAUGCAAAGGGCCGAUCGUUAAUUACGAAUUUAACGAAAACGAUAUUUUUCUACGGAGCAAUACAUAUACGGUGAAGGUUCCAGCCUUCAACAAUAUUGUCAAAGAGGAAACACUUACUGAGGAUAACGCUUGUCUCGAGAUGACACCGGAUUUUUCAUUGAAACGAAGAUUGGCAGUCCGUAUCUGCGGAAAACCGGAAUUCUGCGACAAAAACGCUUGUAUUAGAAAGUGUUGUUCCGAAGAUGGACAUUUUUAUUUUGAUAAACGUCAAAAUAUCAAAUUAUUUGGUUGCAAUAGGCGCCCUGUACCUAAUAAACCCGGAAAAUUUUACAAUGCUCUUGCAAACGCCGUGAAUCAAUCGAAGUCGUUCACUUUCGACACGACCAAAGUCCACGGAAUUUGGAGUAAUGUUUUACACCCCCGUAUAUACAUCCCGUGUAAAAAAAUACACCGUUUCUGGAACCCAGAUGAAUGGGAAGAACGUAUGUCACUGGAAUCAAAUGGACAUACGGACGGCAGGCACUGCUUCGACGUCGUAGAAGACAAAGUCAACAACUCUUAUCGUUUUGAAUUGCUUUACUGUGACAAACACGCACACGUUUUUCCAAGGUAUAUAUUUUCCAUUACCUUAGCUUUAAAAUGUAUUAUGUGAUAACUGUAUGUAAUUAUUAUUUGCGUACAUUUACCAACUGCUAUUCUAUUAUUAGUUUCACUUUUCAACAAUAUCUCUGUUGAUGUAAACGAAUUGUCAGAUUGUAUUAAUAUGGGAUUUUCCAAUGGUUUGUGAUAUCAGAAAUUUGUUCCGGAAAAGUAAAUUUGUGUUGUUUUCUUAGUAAUUAAUUAAAAUUCAAUGUGUUGUAUUAGACUUUCAUUAUCGAUGCUAGCGCAUUACUAUGCAUUCAGGCUCUUAUUUCUUCCACCGCAAAUUUUAAAUUUGGUUAAAUUCGAUAGAUUUAGUUUGUUUUAAUUUUACGAUGUCAAAUAAUCAUAACAUGUAGUAACAUGUCGAGCACCGUAUAAUUAAAAAGUAUUCAAAUAUUUAAGAGCUGUAAAUAUUUUAGUAUGUACACGCGGCACAAGGAGAAGCAUUAUUAAUGUAUGUGAAAUUGAUAAAAAUAAUGUCAGAUCAAUUGUUGAGCAUUAGAUAAACAUGACGCAUUUGUAUAUUCCUACGAAUUAUGAAACCUAAAAUGAAUUUUUGGUUUAGACCUGCCUGGUAUUCCCCCCUAAUAGUCAUCAAGGGUGUAUUUCUGCUGAUGACGUUGCUAGUGUACGCGUUCUUACCGAAUCUGCAAAAUAUUCAUGGGAAAAUUGUCAUAUGUUAUGUGAGCAAUAUCUUGUUGAAUGCUAUCUUCCAAUUAAUCAGCAGUUGGUUCGACAAAGUCAGCUCUGAGCAACAAAGAAGAAUAGAGUGCAAAUUUUUAUGUUUGUAUACAAACGUCUUAGGAAAUAUUCAUAUACGAAUAAUGAUAAAGAAACGUAAAAAAUAUUUUUUUAGCUUACAUCGGGUUUUUUUCUGGACUUGCGAUAAAUUUUUGGCUUAACGUCAUGUGCUUCGACAUGUGGCGGACCAUCACAACUUUUGAGAAUAGGAAGAACUACAAUAAUAGGAAAAGAUUUCUGUUGUACUGUUUAUAUGGAUGGGGCAUUCCUUUACUGCUGACAAUCCUCAUUAUCGUUGCCGAUAAGACGAAUUUUCUGCCAGAAUAUCUGAUACCCGAUAUUGGCAAUACUUCAUGUGGGAUAAUGAGUGAGUUAUUAAUCGAUAACAAUUUUCCGAGAGAUGAUAUAACAUAAGUUAGUCAAUACUAAAAACAAAGUUCUUGGAAAUAUUACUGACUUCUGUAACGAAAGUUAACUCGUCUGCACAGUGUUGAAUAUUUUUUCUAACCUUCUUGAUAUAAUAAUUUACGCAGCAAAUAAAUAGAUAUAGUAAUUAGGAAGAGUUGAGAAUUAAUACCAGAUGAAUUGCAAUCAAAAAAUUUAUGUUUUAUUCAAACUUUAUCACAUCGCAAGAAGAAAACAAAUGUGAAAUUUUCUGUCCAUCAUCGUGUCACAAUCCAAUUAUUGAAAACCAUCUCAAGUAACUCUAUUGAUUGUACUAUAUCAUUGC